UGCCGGAAGGAAGACACUGGGGUGACCACAGAUAGACCACACCAGCCCCCGCGCCUCAAGGCUCACGGAGGGAGCCUCUAGACCAGGCAUCCCCAGCAGGUUUUUCCGGCCCCUGCAGUCCCAGACGGUAACUCGCUGGGAGGCUGCCCGAACUUGUCCAGACUUUCCCAUUUCCCAGCUGUGCACGAGGCUAUCACAGGGCAGAAACACGGCGCGUGGGCUCGGGCGUGGCCGCGGGCCACUUGGGAAGGUCGAAGGCCGGGGGCCUGCACCCCUGGCUCCUGCCCACUGGUGGGGAUGGGAGUGCCGCAGGGCAGCCGCUGCGGGACGUGGCCACGACGGGAGCAGAGACCUGCCAUGCGCCACACAUGGAUGGGCCCUGAACAUGGUGCCCGGUGAGAGCCAGACCCACAGGCCACACAGGGCGACCGCAUUCCUGGGACAUGUCCACAGCAGGCCGACCAGUGGCUACUCUCCUCAGCAGCGUGUUUAUCAGCCGCCUUCUCUGUGGCCCAGCUUCCUGCUCAGCCCAGCGCCCAGCAGGAGCCCCCAGCGUGACCUCAGACAGUGUAGGCCCACAGCCUGCAUCUCUGCCCCCGGCCUCUUGAUAAACACUGUGGAAAACCCAACGCCCGUGGUCUCCGAAGGUCAGGCAUGGAGUUACCACGUGACCCAGCACCUCUGCUCCUGGGCGUCUGUGCGGACCGAUCAUGUCACCACCCGGCUCUGAAAUAGUGACCCCAGGAAACUCGGUGUCUGUUCAAGAGCAACGGAAACACACAUCCACAGAAACCCCGCACACGCCUGUCCCCAGCAGCCACAAGCUCUGGUUGCAUCGUCCAGACCCGUCCUGUGCGCGACCUCCUGCUGCUGUGUUCCCUGCCACGCCAGGUGUGGCGGUGUCUCUGUGCACCUGCCCCCAGCCCAGUCCAGAUGCCUGUUACCGUACUGGGGCAUCUACAGUGUCCCAUGCUCCAGGGUGUGCUGCUGGGACGGAGGGUGGCCCAGUGCCAUGAAGACCGUCUACUGCCUGAGGCUGCUGUUCCCUCUGCCCUCAAUGCUGUUCCCACCAGUGGGACCACAUCGGUGCACCUCCACCCCAGCGGGGGUUCAAGCAAAGAAUCAUUUGAUAAGAGGAGGUGGGCCUCUAGGUCCUGUGAGGAAGUCACGCCCAGAAGCAGCCACCCCUCCAGCCUCUGUCUGAUGGAACAUUUCCAGAAGUGACCGUGGAAAUGUUCUCUGUGCCUUGUGAUGGGGCGUCUGGGUGUGGCUGCUGAGCACUUGAAACCUAGCUGGUGUGCAGGGGACACUGCACGUUUAUCCUUUGUGAUUAGUGUGGAUUUAAAUAGCCACAUUCUAUUCUAAGGGGGCCAGAUUCUCACUCUUCACUGAUUCCAUAUUGGGAAUUCACCUCCUUGCUGAAGUCCUUUGGUAUUUCUUUGUAAAAGUCCUUGUAAAAGUGUAACAUUUAUUAUAAACCAACACUCCUGAGACAUUUUUGUGGCCGGCUGUUCAUGGGCACAUCGAGCAGCAAGAGCUCUGAGUGAGGACGUGCCCAGGUGCCCAGCUGAGGUGGAACCGGUGAGGGCUGCUGUCUCUUCUCUUCUGAGACUGGGAACAAGGAUCCCUUUUUUAAGGCUUAGUUAAGAGCAACGUGUUUCACGCUUUGGGGCUUUUUCUGAGUGAUUUUGCUGUUUAAACCGGCCCCCAAUCAUUCCUAAGCACAAGAAGUGUGAUGUGAAAUUGGAGAAUUGGGAGAAAAUACGUGUGUUUGAGAUGCUUUGUUCCAAUAGUGCUGUUGGCUGUGCCCUCGAUGUUAAUGGAUCAAUAGUACACGUUACAUAAGGUGUCUUUAGACAGAAACAUGUAAUACAAGAUAAGGUGUGGCUGGGUUGAUGAAAAUAUUGUGACCGGGCACCUGCAGGAACCCCGCUGCACCCCCAGGAGGAUUGGCCCAGAGGUCACUUUGCCUGUGUCUGUGGGGACCUCACAGACUCUAAGUGUGCAAAUACAGAGAACGGGUGGCGUGUUCUCGGCCAGGUUGUUACCAAGGUGUACCGUGCCCACAGCAGAGCACUCUGGCCACACACACUGUGCUUGCCAGGCACACCCCAGAUGCCGAGAGCAUCGCGGGCCCCCGCGGCCGGCCCUGCCCUUUGCAGCCACUAAUCCUGAGUGCCUUCCUCUCAGUGUCUAGCACCAAGGGCUGGGUUCUGCCUGAUCUUGAAGUUCAUUUCUCCGGAAUCACAUGUGCUGUUGUGCGUUGGCUCCUUCUCUCACACAGUGUCCAUGGGAGCUGUCUCAUUGCUGCGAGGGUGUGCCGUCCUUCUUCAUCGCUGCGUUGUAUUCCAUUAGGUGGACCCGCCACAAAUGGUGUCUCCAUUCUUUGGCUGUUGAGCACCUCGGUUCUUUCCAGUGUCUGGCUCUUAUUUAAAAAGAGCUGCUACGGAGAUUCUUGUCAAGGCUUCUGUUGGCUAUUUCUGCACAUUUCUCCUGGGUAAACACCCAGGAGCUGGUCUUAGGGGUAGUCUACGAGCAACUUUAUAAGAGAUUUGCCGAGCCGUUCUCCAAAGCAGCCGCACCGUUCCACCUGCCCCAUGGCGUUUAGAAUUCCACCUGCCAUCUCCACAGGUGCUGGGCAUUUCCAGUCUGCAUAUGAAUGAUUUCAUAAUAGCAGCUUUAUUAGACAUAAUUCACAUUCCCUACAAGUCUCCCACUGAAGUGCGCAACUCAGUGGGGUUUUGUGCAACCAUUCCCACAAUUAAUCUGAGAACAUUUCGUCACCAGGAAAGAAAGGCCAGCCAUUAGCUGUCCCUUUCUAUCCUUCCCCCAGCCCUGGGCACCUACGAGUCCACUUUCUGCCUGUGGAUUUGCCUGUCGUGGACAUGUCACGGGAACGGGGUCACACCGUAUGGCCUGUGUGUUCGGUGUCUGUCCACGUGUGGCGUGUGGCAGGGCUCUGCUCCUUUCUGAGUGGUGUUCCGUGUGUCGGUGGACACGUGUGUGUCCAUUCAUGCAUUGAUGGACAUCUGGUUGUUCCCACUUUUGCCAUUGUGACGCGUGCUGCUGUGGACACACACGUGUACAGGUUUUGUGAGGACCUAUGUUUCAUUUCUCUUGGGCACGUGCCUGGGAGUGAAGUUUCUGGCCCUGACUCAACGCUGACCCUCUGGACGACUGGCUGGUUGGCUCCUCCCCAAGACUCCCACCCAGGGUCAGCCCUAGGGGCCUCUUCCAGGCUGAGGUGGCUCACUCAGCCUCCCUGGGAUUUAGAAAAGGAGAUGAAAGUAUUUCCUAUCUGAGUUAAAGAGUUAA